UGAAGCUGGGGGGCGUGCUUACACAUGCAAGUCGAACGGGAUCCCUGGCAGCUUGCUGUCGGGGUGAGAGUGGCGAACGGGUGAGUAAUGCGUGACCAACCUGCCCUGUGCACCGGAAUAGCUCCUGGAAACGGGUGGUAAUACCGGAUGCUCCGCUCCAUCGCAUGGUGGGGUGGGAAAUGCUUUUGCGGCAUGGGAUGGGGUCGCGUCCUAUCAGCUUGUUGGCGGGGUGAUGGCCCACCAAGGCGUUGACGGGUAGCCGGCCUGAGAGGGUGACCGGCCACAUUGGGACUGAGAUACGGCCCAGACUCCUACGGGAGGCAGCAGUGGGGAAUAUUGCACAAUGGGCGCAAGCCUGAUGCAGCGACGCCGCGUGCGGGAUGGAGGCCUUCGGGUUGUAAACCGCUUUUGUUCAAGGGCAAGGCACGGUUUCGGCCGUGUUGAGUGGAUUGUUCGAAUAAGCACCGGCUAACUACGUGCCAGCAGCCGCGGUAAUACGUAGGGUGCGAGCGUUAUCCGGAUUUAUUGGGCGUAAAGGGCUCGUAGGCGGUUCGUCGCGUCCGGUGUGAAAGUCCAUCGCCUAACGGUGGAUCUGCGCCGGGUACGGGCGGGCUGGAGUGCGGUAGGGGAGACUGGAAUUCCCGGUGUAACGGUGGA
rnacentral:rRNA from 1 species